UUUACUUGAUUUUUCAAGAUACUCAGAAGGCUUUUCUAGAAAGAUAAGAGUUUAUACCUCCGGCGGGCUCCCCGAGGGGCCGGGUCCGCCUCCCCGGAGGGAGGACGGCAGCCCGCCGAAGCAACGACAUGGUAUGUACGCAAUGGGUUUGGGAGUUUUGCAACUCUGUAAUGAUCCCUCCGCUGGUUCACCAACGGAGA
rnacentral:misc_RNA from 1 species